rnacentral:rRNA from 1 species
AUACGUAGGGGGCGAGCGUUGUCCGGAAUGAUUGGGCGUAAAGGGCGCGUAGGCGGCGCGGUAAGUCUGGAGUGAAAGUCCUGCUUUCAAGGUGGGAAUUGCUUUGGAUACUGCCGCGCUUGAGUGCAGGAGAGGUUAUCGGAAUUCCCGGUGUAGCGGUGAAAUGCGUAGAGAUCGGGAGGAACACCAGUGGCGAAGGCGGGUAACUGGACUGCAACUGACGCUGAGGCGCGAAAGUGUGAGGAGCAAACAGGAUUAGAUACCCUGGUAGUCCACUCUGUAAACGAUGAAUGCUAGGUGUAAGAGGUAUCGACCCCUUUUGGGCCGGAGUCAACACAAUAAGCAUGCCGCCUGGGGAGUACGGCCGAAAGGUUGAAACUCAAAUGAAUUGGAGGG